AAAAAAAAAAAUUUUUUUUUUUAACCAGAAACGCAUGUAGUAGGGAAAGGAGCAUUUCCAAAGGCUUCAAAACAAGGUGGUGCAAGUCUCAAACUUUUCCUUUCUCUUAGAGCGCAUCUCUCUACAUUUAAAGGUCUGCGACGACACGACACCCCAAACUCGGGGAAAUCAGAGAAGGGGCCAAAGAGCCACAAGGUGCGGCGGGCCGCCCGAGAGUCCACGCGCCCCUCAGACUGCAGCGGGUGCGUGUGCGGUCCGGUUCUCCGCUCCCUCCCCCAGCACCCCACCCCACGCUCGGGGUGCGCGGGGGCCGCUACCGAUCCCAGCUCCCUCCUGGAUGCGGGGGUGGGCUGGGAACGGCCAUCCUGCUUCCCUCCCACACCCCGAUUCCUCACCAGUGGCAAAGGGAGGGCGUGAGGCCCCCGAGGCGGGAGGGCCAGCUCCGGAGGGAGGCCCCGCUCGCCGCCCGGCAUACCUGGCUCUCAGCUGCGGGGAUGCCGGACUCGAGCUCACACAGCGCGCGGAAGUUGUGCAGCUCGAAGUCGGCGUCGACCUGGAGGGAAAAGGUCACCUCGGAGAGGUCCCUCCGCACACAGUACACGGAUAGGAAGCCUGGAGGUAGACAGCAACGUUGGUUCAGUGACUCAAUGAUACAAGGGCCAGUAUUUCCGCAAAUCUUUGGCCUCUCCCUGAGGGUCACGAUAUGGCCGGUUGCCUCCACUCCAUGCACCAUUUUCUUGUUCAAGCAAGAGCUUGCCCAGGAGUCCCCCAGCAGUUUUCUGCUUACAUCCGGCCAGAACUGUGUCACACAGAUGCAAGAAAAAGGCCAGGAAAGAUGGGACAGAUUUUAUUUUCCAAAGAUGGCCAUGGCAAUAUCUUCCAUCUUAUAUGUUCAUCCUACAAUGUAAUCAUGACAUUCCUCCCAUGAAGAGAUGGGGAAUAUGAAUUAGAAUUAUGGCAGACGGACUUUGGCAUAAGUGCCACUGUGUGACUUCUGAGGGUAGGUCAUAAAAUGCAAUGUAACUUCUGCCUGAUUCUUUUGGAACACUUGCUCUUGAAACCCAGUAGCCAUGCUGUGCGGAAGCCCAAACUACCCCAGGCAGUGAGACUACGUGGAGAUAACAUAUAUAGAUGGUCCAAGCAACAGCCUAGCAGAGAUCAAAGCCAAUUACCAGGAAAACCCUCCUAGAACAUGAAUGAAGACACUUCCAGUUGAUUUCAGCCCCAGCUGUUGAGUCAUCUCCAGCCUUUGAGUCUUCCCAACUGAGGCCCCAGACAUCAUGGAGCUGCCUCCACUGUAUUCUUUUUGAAUUCCUGACCCACAGAUUCUAUGAGCAUAAAAAAAUGGUUAUUUUAUGUGACUAAGUUUGGGGUGGUUUGUUACAAAGAACAAUAAUUGGUAUACUGAAUAUAGGCACAGCCAAUAAACUCCUAAAAAAAGAGAAUUUUAUUGCAAUAUAAUACACAAAAAGUGCAUAUAUUUUAAGUGUAGAGAGUGAGUUUUCACAAACUGAACAUCCCUGUUCAGAACAUUAUCGGUACUUCAAAAGCCCCCGAAUCGUUCCUGCUAUAAUUAUUAGUAAUCUUUUUUUAAAAAAAAUAUUUAUUUGGCUGCGCCGGGUCUUAGUUGCUGCAUAGGAGAUCUUUAGUUGCAUCUUGGGCAUGGAAUCUUAACCAUUGGACCACCAGGGAAGUCCCAUAUCCUCCCUUCUAAUCACUAACUCUCCCUCCUCACCCCCUCCAAGUGUAACUAAUAUCCUGACAUUUAACAGCAUUGAUUCAUUUUGCUUGUUUUUCUACCACAUAUAAGUGGACUCACACAGCAUGUAGUCGAGUGUCUGCCUUCUUUCACUUGGCAUUAAGUGGGUUUUGUCCAUAUCAUCGUAUGUAAUUAUAGCUUGUACAUUCUUAUUGCUGUAUAAUAUUUUGUUUGGGGAAUACACGACAGUUCAUCCAUUCUGUGGCUAAUGGGCAUUUGAGUGGAUACAUUUUUCCUUGAACCAUUUUGACUUACGGUUUUCAAAUUUUGCAACCAAAAGAAUCCUAACUAAUAUAAGCCCAUCACCCCCUUUGGACUCUGCUCAGUUGCCUCCUGCCAUCUGGCUCCCAGUGGCUCCUCCCACUUCUCUCUCACCACUCCAUGAGAUGGACUUUGCACCUCUAUUACCUGUGACCACAAAUAGCUUCAGACAUCUCUGGUCCUUAAUUCUAAGUCAGGAUGGGGUGGACAAGGCCUAGACACAGGGCUACCAAGAAGUUCCCUGAUCGUUGCUGUGUGUCAAGAACCUUGCCAGUGAUUGCUAUCAUUUGCAAUGCUUACUUUGUGCCAGACACGCCUCCCUGCCUGUUAUGUGUGUUGAGUCAAUUAAUCCUCACAAAAAUCCUAUGAGGUAUUAGCUCCAUUUUAGAGAUGAAUAAACUGAGGCAUAGAAAGGGGUCCGUCACUCACCCAAGGACAUACAA